UGAGGAAUAUUGGUCAAUGGGCGCGAGCCUGAACCAGCCAAGUCGCGUGAAGGAAGAAGGCUCUAUGGGUCGUAAACUUCUUUUAACCGGGAAUAAAAGAGAUGACGAGUCAUCUAUUGCAUGUACCGGUAGAAUAAGCAUCGGCUAACUCCGUGCCAGCAGCCGCGGUAAUACGUAGGGGGCAAGCGUUAUCCGGAAUUACUGGGUGUAAAGGGUGAGUAGGCGGCAUAGUAAGUCAUAUGUGAAAGCCCGCAGCUUAACUGCGGAGUUGCAUAAGAAACUAUUGAGCUAGAGUGCAGGAGAGGAAAGUGGAAUUCCUAGUGUAGCGGUGAAAUGCGUAGAUAUUAGGAGGAACACCAGUGGCGAAGGCGGCUUUCUGGACUGUAACUGACGCUGAGGUGCGAAAGCCAGGGGAGCGAACG
rnacentral:rRNA from 1 species